GUAUCAGAAUAUUCAAAAUGUAGUCCAUUCGGUUCUCUGCGUUUUCUUUCUUUUCAGUCUUCGUCUUUCUUCCUUUCCUUUCCUUUCAAUAAAUCCAUGAAUGCUAUCAUGGUAUCAGAGCCCAUGGUCAUGAUCUUUGGCCUUGUGGCUUCUGUAUGUCUAUCUUAGCUUCCGUUGUUAUCAGUUUCCUUCGUUCUCGAUUUGAUUUAACCCCAAUUUCAGAACCCUAACCCCAAAAUCCAAUUUCCUUCACACCCAGUCGAUUCAGUCGAUGAUUAUUGACGCAUAGUCGGCGUGCGAGCCUUGUCGACGUCCUUGUUCUCUCCUGUGACUGAUUUGCUCAGUUGAUGCCGUGUUGUCCUCAGAUCGACGAAGCCCGAUGAGUCUUCUUCUUCUCAGUUUCGAAUCGAAGCAUAAUUUCUCUUGGAAGUCAUCGUCAUCUACCUCGCUUCGUCGUCAUCGUGCUCUCCAUCUAUCCCCCUCUCUCCUGUGUGUUUAUCGCUUGGAUGUGGUUGGUUGUAGAAGUAGGGGAGAUGACAGUGUUGAUUGAUAUUAUAUGUAAAUACUCUGGGCUUCUAAAUCUGGUGGUGAUUUGAGAUAGAAGAGAUGGAUAGGGAUUAUGGUUGAAUGUUGUGAGCUUCUCUCUCUGCUAUAUGUUCCUAAUUGCUUAGUGAUGUAUGUUUGGUGAUACAAAGUUGAUGACUGUUGCUUAGUGUUUUCCUACCGCAAUUUGUUUGCGAUAUUGACCCUGUAAGAAAACGUAGUAAUGGAGGUAGUAGUAUGUGGAAUUGUAGUAUUGAGGUAGUAGCCUCUGUAUGGCAAAGCGGUGCAGAAAAUAUUGCAGUAAGUCAAGGAUCCAACUGAAAUGUGGAGGGAAACACUUCUUAUGCAGCAGCUUAUUAUGAAUAUAUGGGACUGCUGGUUUGUCUAGAUCUAAUUUCAGAGAGCGUAGUUCAAAUUGCAAUGUGGAAGAAGACAUGAUUAUGCAGCAUAUAUGUUGGAGUAAUGCUAUAAGAGUUAAGGGGCGAGUACAGCUUCUAGGAGUGAUCAUCAAUUGCUUUGGUUCUGGAAUUAUUUGGGAAAUGUUGCAGAGCAGAGAGAAAGGAUUUCUUCUUUCGCACUUCAGAGAAGUACUUCUCACUUCUUAGUUGAGGGGUUACAUAGUUUGGCUUUGUGGUUGUAUGUUCAUAUGUCCCAUCUACUGAUCAAUGAAGAACCAGAAGCAGUUGCAUAUAGUCUUUUUUGCUGUAGCCAAAGAACAAGUACAGCUGGGUUAAGAAACAAUAGAGAAACUUUUAUGGGCUCCAACAUGCUUCUUGGUCUGGGUGUGUUAUUGCUAGGAGUAAUUGGUCGAACAAGCACAUUGGAAUGCCUAUUCUGAUGAUAAAUCUCAUGAUUCAAGUACAAUGAAUUUGCUGGGAUGUUCAUUGCAAUAGUUCCAUACAUUUUGUGUGUAUGUGAUUGUUGUGGCAGGGCUUUCUCUUUUCAGCUGUUGAUUGCCAAGAACAAGGUUUCUUCCAGAGCUUACUUCCUUGCAUGUUUGGUUUCUAUCAAGCAUCUGGAAGUGCUUCAUCUCAAAUUGGUCCUUCACUUUCCACAAGGCUGUGGCCUGUCUAUGUUGGCUAUCGAAGAAGAGCAGUUCUGUAGCCUUGAGGUUUCAUAUCAUGUAUUGCAACCAUUAUGCUUGGGGUGCCCAAGCAUAUGGUUGAGGGAGGGUGUUAGAAAUAUACAGAUAUAUAUUUCGUAUUCCUGUCAUUUCAGUAUUAGAUUAGUUCUAUAUCUAGGGAUUAUUGUAGUGUUGUGAUGUAUUGAAAAUUCACGAUGUAGUCGUUUAUGUUCUCAGCGUUUCUUACUUUCAGUCGUCUUCU